CACACACUGCUUCCUUAAAGUCUGUGAUUCCAGCAGAAAUAAGUCCAUGACUUAAUAUUACUGCCCUGACCUUUAAAUGCCUGCAGGUAAACAGCACCAAGCUGCCUGGAGAGGAGAAGUUCUUAGCUGGCACCACACAGUCCCUCAGGACUGGCUCUACGAGUCACAGGACUGACCUGACUUCAGCUUGAUCAAGUCUCCUGUAAAGCAAGGGAUUCCCAGGAGCUUGGACAAGGUGACUGUGUCCACCCCAAUAAUGGGACCUCAUCAGAACAUCCAGAGAACACACUGUGUGUCAUAUACUACAACGGGCUCUGAGG
rnacentral:lncRNA from 1 species